AACCAAGGUUUCCGUAGGGUGAACCUGCGGAAGGAUCAUUA
rnacentral:rRNA from 1 species